UACGUAGGGUGCAAGCGUUAUCCGGAAUUAUUGGGCGUAAAGAGCUCGUAGGCGGUUUGUCGCGUCUGCUGUGAAAACUGGAGGCUCAACCUCCAGCCUGCAGUGGGUACGGGCAGACUAGAGUGCGGUAGGGGAGAUUGGAAUUCCCGGUGUAGCGGUGAAAUGCGCAGAUAUCGGGAGGAACACCGGUGGCGAAGGCGGUUCUCUGGUCCAUUACUGACGCUGAGGUGCGAAAGCGUGGGGAGCAAACAGG
rnacentral:rRNA from 1 species